ACAGAGUGACUGACUCUAUUCGUCUGAUAACGGUAGGUCGCGUGCGCGUGAAAAAGUCUAAUAAUGCUAGGCUUUAAAUCCUCUCAAUGAAAACUAAUAAACAGAGUUAUUCAUUUGACAAGUUUUCAAUAUGUGUUUCUUUGUUUUUUGCGGCGUUUACACCAUCUGUUCAUUGUCUUUCUUUUUAUAAGAAAUUAGAAUAUUAUAUGGAAGUUUUGAAGAUGUGCUCACGGAAACAUCGAUUCAAGGAAAGCUGUUCUUCAGUUUUUCAUGGGAAACACACAAUCAACGAAACCGGCAAUGAAAAAAGACAAAAAAAGUUGCAGGAUACCGCGCUCACAGACAUCACUUAAUGGUUUAUUUAUUCUUUUAAAAUCUAAACCACAGCUUCGUAUUGCAAUUCUUGCACCACCCACUAAAUAUGAUGUAAAAACUUGAUUUUAUUCCAAAAGUCCAGUUUAAUUGUUUUGAAUUCAUUCGUAGAGGAUAAAGUUCAACUGGACAGCGUCCAAAAUUUUUGUCACAAAUUUGGAAUCGUCAGCAGUAUUGUUUUCUUGGAGACUCGACUAAAAUCGAUCAUAGCUGUUUCUGGCGUGGUAAAUCGAUAGUUUUCGAUCAUUGAAGGAUGCGCUUCAAUUAAGAAACAAAUCAAGUCACAAAACCAGAGAACCGGAUGUCUUUGUUGAAAUCAAAAUGACUCAUCAAAUUGAGACGAUGGCGUGAGUGAAUUGUAGCGUGUUAACAGCAAGUCAAGUGGAUAACGAUAGAACAGACGGGUUAUGAAACGGAAAACUGUUGGAUAUCCGCCAAUAAAAUUUAAUAUCUUA